rnacentral:rRNA from 1 species
AUGACUGACCAUACUCAACCAGCGGACGAAUAUUCCAACUACUGGUCCGGUGUCCCCUACAAUCACGCGAUUCUGAUCGCUACCAGUUCCCGAAAUCAAUCUCUUCUUCCCGAGUUCUCCACGCCUCCCCAGCUGCCUCCCGAGUUCGGAUCACCUCCAUCGUCGUCCGCCGACGCGCCUCGCCCGCAGCGCCAUCCGCCACGUGCCUCCUUCCACCCCAAUCGGAGGCAGCAGAGGCGGAGAGGCACGUCGCGCCGCCACAUCUGGAGAGGGAGGGGCAGGGGAACGGACAUCACGUUGGAUGUGCUUCGCAGUUAA